AGAGUUUGAUCCUGGCUCAGAUUGAACGCUGGCGGCGUGGAUAAGGCAUGCAAGUCGAACGUGAUCCAGGGGGUAACUCCUGGUGAAAGUGGCGAAUGGGUGAGUAACAGGUGGGUAAUCUGCCCUUGAGUGGGGAAUAAGGCUCGAAAGGCCGGUAAUUCCGCAUAAGGUCGCCGGGUCGCAUGGCCUGGCGAAGAAAGCGGGGGAUCGCAAGACCUCGCGCUCGAGGAUGAGCCCGCCUCCGAUUAGCUAGUUGGUGGGGUAACGGCCUACCAAGGCUACGAUCGGUAGCUGGUCUAAGAGGAUGGUCAGCCACACUGGGACUGAGAUACGGCCCAGACUCCUACGGGAGGCAGCAGUCUAGAAGCUUCGGCAAUGGGGGAAACCCUGACCGAGCGACGCCGCGUGCGGGAUGAAGCUUUUCGGAGUGUAAACCGCUUUCGCUGGAGAUGAAAGCAGGUACGGCUAAUACCUGCGCCUGUAGACAGUAUCCAGUAUAGAGCC
rnacentral:rRNA from 1 species